AUAUGUUUCAAAGUCGCUCUUUGUUAAAUUGGUCAGCAUUCAUCCCUGCUGGCAUAGCACGUGUUCUGCAGGCAAGAAAUGGAAGACAACAUGAAUUGUUCCCAUUGCAAUUCCAAACCCUGAAAAUGAUGCUUGCAGGAUAGCAAAAACUGCUUUUAUUUUCAACUACAUCAAAGGGGAUGAGAACAGCUAGGAGCCUGUUUGUAUAUCUGGGUCUAAAAUGUCAUAGGAUUUAUGGAUUGGGCCAAGUUAACUAGCUAAGUUAGGUUGAAUUAGGCUUAUAUUUAUAAAAAUCAAAGCAAAAUUUUUUGUACACCUGCGGUGUAGAAAAUAUGAUGUGGAGCACACUGUCUCACCCC
rnacentral:lncRNA from 1 species